rnacentral:lncRNA from 1 species
GGAUUUGGAGGGUGCUGGAAUUUGCUGUGCCUUCUAAAUAACAGCGAGUAGACCGAUUAAAAUAACUAGGAAGAGGGGAGAAACAUGCGAGAAGAAGGAGUGUGCAAGAGCACAGGGACUUUACCUGAAAAGGCAACAGAUUGUUACCAUUAUCGGUCCGGAAAGCGUUAUCCUCCAUCCAGGACUUGGAGGUCUCUACGGGAGCCUGAGAAAUUCUCUGCAGAGUGGAGAAAUGCUUCUGCUUGGAUUUGAGAUCCUGUCACUGCUGUUGCUAACCCAACUCUACUGAACUUGACUGCUGGUGUAUCUCGAAUGGAUUGAGCUGCCACUGCCUGCUAACCUAUGAACUGAACUGCCGAUUUCCAGACAACGCAGAUGGGGUCACUACAAAGAAUCUUUCUAAACAGGUCCACUUCCCCUCCCAACCCCCCACACCCCUGUAUCCUUUCUUUUCCACUACCUCUGGUGGGUGGUGGGCUACAAGGGAGGUUUAAGAACCAUAAUUAAAAAUAAGGUUUGGGGCUGGAGAGAUGGUUCAGCGGUUAAGAGCACUGACUGCUCUUCCAAAGGUCCUGAGUUCAAAUCCCAGCAACCACAUGGUGGCUUACAACCAUCUGUAAUGAGAUCUGAUGCCCUCUUCUGGUGUGUCUGAAGACAGCUACAGUGUACUUACAUAUAACAAUAAAUAAGUCUUAAAAAUGUUUAAAAAAAUAAGGUUUGAAAAAAUUAAAGUUAUACUUUCUUCUACAAAUUUUAUACUUUUGGCUCUAACUUUUGUUUUUUUUUAAUCAAUUUUUAGUUAAUUUUUGUUGUAAUGUGAGGUAAGAGUCCAACACCAUUCAUUUGCAUGGACUGCCUAGCUGAAAUGGAAAUAUAUCCAUUCUGCCUAUUAGAUUAUUCUGGUGCCCUUGUUGAAAAUAACCUGACCAUCGGAAUGUCAGGACUUAAUUCCAGACUUCCUGGUCCACUAAUCAAAACACCUUACAACACUAUUAUACCAUCUUCAUUAUUGUGGUAUUUUAGUGAGCUUUAAAAUCAGGAAAUCGACACCAAUAAGAAGGCCCAGCAGCUAAAGGCAAUCCCUGCCAACUUUAAUAACCUGAGUUCAGGAUCUGCAGGACCCACAUCAUCAAAGGAGAGAACCAACUUGUAAAAUCGACUCUCUGGGCUCUAAACACCUGUCAUGGCACGCAUGCGCGCACACACACACACACACACACACACACACACACACACACACACUGACACACUCGCACACAAUCUUUGAUGAACUCUUUCCAUUUACUGGAUGUCAAAUGGCUUAGUUUUCAGAUGUUAUUCACUGCUUUUGUUAAGCUGAUGCCUUUGUGUUGUAUUUUCAUUUACCAUCGUCUUUGUAUGUACAUUUGGCAUGUGAGUGAGUAUGGACGCAUGCAUGCCGAGGUGCACAUACCAAGGCAAAGUUACUUCUCUCCUCGCACCCUGGGACCUAGGAUUGGAAAGGAGUCCCUCCAGUGCUUCUACCCACUGAGCCAUCUUGCCAGCCCAAUGUCACUGUUCUCAUGUAGCCCAACUAACCCUGAACUCACUAUAUAGCUGAGGCUAACUUUGAACUUCUAAUCCUCCUGCCUCAACUCCCCAGUGCUGUGACUAGUGGCAUCCACUGCCACAGCUCGGUUUAUGUGGUGACAGGGAUUAAAGCUAGGGUGCUGUGCAUGUUUAGAAAGUAUUUUACACGCAGAGCUGUAUUCCCAUUCUUAGUGUGUUCCUUUUGAUGUUUUUAUAAAUACAACUAAUUUUUCUUACUUUUAUUCCUGUAUUGGUCACUGCUAAUAUACAGAUAUACAAUAGAUCUUCCAUUUUUGAUCUUAUAACUUGCAAUCUUGUUAAACUUGCAUUUUGGUUCUAAUAUGUGUUUUGUGCAAUUCCUUGAGAUUUUUUUUCAUUAAAGUUUUCAUAGUGU